rnacentral:rRNA from 1 species
CGCUAGCGGCAGGCCUAAUACAUGCGAAGUCGGAGGAGAUUUGUUGGAUUUCGUCUGACAUGAAACCGGCGCACGGGUGCGUAACACGUAUGCAACCUACCUUUAACUGGGGUAUAGCUCAGAAGAAAUCUGAAUUAAUCCCCCAUAAGACUACGACAUGGCAUCAUGAUGUAGUUAAAGCUCCGGCGGUUAAGGAUGGGCAUGCGGUACAUUAGCUAGUUGGUGAGGUAAUGGCUCACCAAGGCUACGAUGUAUAGGGGGUCUGAGAGGAUGAUCCCCCACACUGGUACUGAGACACGGACCAGACUCCUACGGGAGGCAGCAGUAGGGAAUAUUGGUCAAUGGACGCAGGUCUGAACCAGCCAUGCCGCGUGAAGGAUGAAGGCCCUAUGGGUCGUAAACUUCUUUUAUUAGGGAAGAAAAAAUGGGAUGCGUCCUAUACUGACGGUACUUAAUGAAUAAGGAUCGGCUAACUUCGUG